AGAGUUGAUCCUGGCUCAGAGCGAACGUUAGCGGCGGGCCUAACACAUGCAAGUCGAACGAGAACGCUCCUUCGGGAGUUAUUAAAGUGGCGCACGGGUGAGGAACGCGUAGGUAAUCUACCCUCUGGCGGGGGACAACACUCCGAAAGGAAUGCUAAUACCGCAUGAGACCACGCUUACUACGGUGAGAGUGGUAAAAGGCGCCCCAAAGCGCCACCAGAGGAUGAGCCUGCGUCCCAUCAGCUUGUUGGUAAGGUAAUGGCUUACCAAGGCUAAGACGGGUAGCUGGUCUGAGAGGAUGAUCAGCCACACUGGCACUGGAACACGGGCCAGACUCCUACGGGAGGCAGCAGUGAGGAAUAUUGGGCAAUGGGCGAAAGCCUGACCCAGCCACGCCGCGUGUGUGAUGAAGGCCUUCGGGUCGUAAAGCACUGUGGGGAGGGACGAAAACACGCAGGAGGAAAUGCCUGCGUCUUGACGGUACCUCCUUAGCAAGCACCGGCUAACUCUGUGCCAGCAGCCGUGGUAAUACGGAGGGUCCAAGCGUUAAUCGGAAUUACUGGGCGUAAAGCGUGCGUAGGCGGUUUGUUAAGUGGAAUGUGAAAGCCCCGGGCUCAACCUGGGAACUGCAUCCCAAACUGGCAAACUAGAGUGCGGAAGAGGAGUGUGGAAUUUCCUGUGUAGCGGUGAAAUGCGUAGAUAUAGGAAGGAACACCAGUGGCGAAGGCGACACUCUGGUCUGACACUGACGCUGAGGUACGAAAGCGUGGGGAGCAAACAGGAUUAGAUACCCUGGUAGUCCACGCCGUAAACGAUUUCAACUAGCCGUUGGGUCCCGUUUCCGCUUAGUGGUGCAGCUAACGCAAUAAGUUGACCGCCUGGGGAGUACGGCCGCAAGGCUAAAACUCAAAUGAAUUGACGGGGGCCCGCACAAGCGGUGGAGCAUGUGGUUUAAUUCGAUGCAACGCGAAGAACCUUACCUACCCUUGACAUCCAGAGAAUCUGUUAGAGAUAGUAGAGUGCCUUCGGGAAUUCUGUGACAGGUGCUGCAUGGCUGUCGUCAGCUCGUGUCGUGAGAUGUUGGGUUAAGUCCCGUAACGAGCGCAACCCUUAUCCUUAGUUGCUAGCAGGUAAUGCUGAGAACUCUAGGGAGACUGCCGGUGAUAAACCGGAGGAAGGUGGGGACGACGUCAAGUCAUCAUGGCCCUUAUGGGUAGGGCUACACACGUGCUACAAUGGUCGGUACAGAGGGCUGCAAACUCGCGAGAGUAAGCUAAUCUCAGAAAGCUGAUCUUAGUCCGGAUUGGAGUCUGCAACUCGACUCCAUGAAGUUGGAAUCGCUAGUAAUCGCGGAUCAGAAUGCCGCGGUGAAUACGUUCCCGGGCCUUGUACACACCGCCCGUCACACCAUGGGAGUGGGUUGCAAAAGAAGUGGGUAGACUAACCUUCGGGAGGUCGCUCACCACUUUGUGAUUCAUGACUGGGGUGAAGUCGUAACAAGGUAACC
rnacentral:rRNA from 1 species